UGGCGCGUCUCCGGUCAGUCUAUGCUACAACCACUGUUGCUACUGGCCUCGCUCUUCCUCCUCCAGGGGGCCAAUCGGACGGCGGAAGACCACCACCUCGGGCCACGCUGCGCCGCGCGGCGCCAUUGGAGCGAGGACGCGGCAGCGACCAAUGAGCGCCGGGAGAGGUGGGAAGGCGAUCACCCCAACUGCUCGCGAUUGGCUGUGUCUGCAGGGAUCCUGCCCAAUGGCGGCGCGGGGGGAGCCUAUAAAGGCUCCCGCGAGAGCACGCGGUGGUCUUUCCUACCGGGAGGGCGCGGCGGGAACCGGCUCGGACCGGCGGGCGCCGGCCGCGGGCGGCCCGAGGGACGGCGAGGCGGGAGCGGAGAGCGGCGCAGCGCGCGGCGGCCGGGAGUGGCGCCGGCUGCCCUCCGGGCCCUGCCUCAGCCCGGGUGGCGGCUCGUUCAUGGAGUCAAGCCGGAAAAUGCGGUAUUUUCGGCCUGUCUGGAGCUCCCAGCACCGGGGAGCGGCGCCGAGCCCCGCGGAGUGGCCGCCCGCCUGUGGGUUGCUUCGGGGAAGUCAGAGCUGCAGGGAAAGCCCGAGUGGGUUUCACGGCAAGUGAAAGCGGGAAGCUGUGGCUGGAGCAGCUACUUCGUGGCCUUAGGAUAGCGGUUAGCCUGUGUGCAGCAUAGGCUGGGAACUGCGGAGCAGAACAAGUGGUGCAGCUUAAAAACACACUGGGCCAAGAGAGAUCUCGUCCAGGGUCGCUGUACCAAGCAGUGAACCGCUGGUUGUGAUCCUGUACAGUUUGGGGCUCAGGGCAGUUUCUAAACACAAAGAAGCAGCUGCAAAACUGCCCAAAAUACAAGGAGCCAAAAGCAAUUAUUAUCAAUGAGCAGGUAGGUUAAGGCAAAAGGAAUGGCAGGUAGUGGAUGCAAAAAUGGGGGUAAGUGAAAGAAUUCAUAGGCAGCUGUUCUCACAAUGCAGGUGGACACUAGUACCAGAGUGUGUGGGUACUUUCUAAUCUAUAUCUGGGAGUCCUUGCUACUAACUAGCUGUUUUGAGACUAACAGGCUGCUCAGAUACUGUUCUUUCCCAACUGUUUCCUGCUGUGUUUCCAAUUUGGCUUCUGUAUAAAGCUAAUCUUACAGCUUUAAGUUUUAAUAAAGUUUUCAGUAAACUUG